rnacentral:misc_RNA from 1 species
AUAGCAUUACCCAGACAUAUUGAUAUAUUUUGUGGCCUCGGACAAACAGAUGCAAAGAAUCAUAGUACAAAGAAUGCGUGAAAGGAGGGCCACUUAACUUCACAGGCCUGCUGAAACCAAUCCAUGCAAUGUGAUGAUCCCGAUCACAACAUUCUGAUUCUCAACAACAGGCAAGAACUGGACAGCAGAAGGUGGUGACUCCAUUUUCUUCAUCGCCUCCACUGCCAUUGCCCCCGGGCUGAUUGUUCUCGGAUUCCUGUUACACAUUUCCCCCACGGUGAGCUUGAAGAUGCCUUCACCAUAGGCCUUG